rnacentral:rRNA from 1 species
UACGUAGGUCCCGAGCGUUGUCCGGAUUUAUUGGGCGUAAAGCGAGCGCAGGUGGUUUAUUAAGUCUGGUGUAAAAGGCAGUGGCUCAACCAUUGUAUGCAUUGGAAACUGGUAGACUUGAGUGCAGGAGAGGAGAGUGGAAUUCCAUGUGUAGCGGUGAAAUGCGUAGAUAUAUGGAGGAACACCGGUGGCGAAAGCGGCUCUCCGGCCUGUAACUGACACUGAGGCUCGAGAGCGUGGGGAGCAAACAGG